rnacentral:lncRNA from 1 species
GUGGGCGGAGUCUUGGAGAACAGACCGCGUCUCGCGCUUGCGGGGCCACAUCCUCAGGACUCGUGCGGGGUCCCUGGCUCUCACCCCGCGGGUACCUGCUCGAGCUGCGGGGCUACCUCCAGCACGGCCGCCGCUUUGAGCUCCGCCAUGAUCGUCGCCGCGUCGGAUCCCCGCCGGGAGAGUGUAGCAGAGUCCGCGUUGGAGCCGAGCUGACAGUGGCCGGGCGGGUGGCCUGGCUGUGGCUGCAGUGGUACCUCCUCCGGAGCCCAGGUCACCAUGCACUGCGCACCUCCCUAGCGUAGUGAGGGACUCCUCAGUGUGGCAUGGGCACGUUCUGCGGGUCCUCCUACAUGAUGAAAGGUCCUGCGUCCCACCACGCCCUGUACUCUCUGCUGGAACCAGAGGUGACUGGGCUGGAGGAGGGUCCGGAACAGCAUCCUCUCUCUGUAUCCUGGCUUCCAGUGGAUGUUCUACAAAUCAUAGCUUUUUUUUUUUUUUUUUUUUUUUUUUUUUAACCUCAGAACUUAAGUAUGGAAGGACUUACCACAUUCACAAUGGCUGCUCUUCUCUAAGAAUCUCCAGCAAUACACAGCAGGACUGUGAGGCACAGUUCAGAGUCCCAUUGAUAUGUAACUGAAUUGCUGAGAUGGACCAAUGAGAGCCUUCGAAGUCUCUGCUGUCUGCAGGAGCAGUGGCCACGAAUCUGGCUGAAAUGUGGGGUACAUGCUAAUGUAUGGGGAGACCAGUCUUAAACCACUGGAGUAGCUGGUAACUUCAACCUGCUGUGGGGAGGACUGGGCCUCCUGAGAAGGAAAUGACAGAGCUCCCUCCAAGGUCGUUGGUCAAAGGAGACAUGACAGAAGACAAAGAAUAGGUACAACAAGAUGUAAAGUUUAUAUACAAAGAAUAUAAUGUUUAUCUGAAAUAUUUACAGUGUCGGUUAAAGCAAUAUUUUUACAACUUUUCCAGGUCAACUACUACGUAUAUUACAGGUAAGCUACAAUGAUUUAGUUUGCAAAAAAAA